CAAAGGCAGUGGUGGUGUGGUCCCACAGGCAAUGUUCCUCUUCUGAGACCCCUCCUAUCUAUCUGCCUAACCAGCCUCUACCUGCCUCCUCUCUCAUUCCAGUGGUGACCCUAAUUGCCAUUAGAGGGAGAGGGUAGAUGACCGCUCAGGCUUCUUCAAGCUGUGAGAGGGCAUUGUUACUGUGGCAGUAAGGGAUCCUCCAGAGGAUGGUCUAAUGGGCCUGAGAGGAAGGGUUCUUUCACACAGGGUUCCAUCUGCAUCAUGAUCUGGAGUUUGAUGGCCUCUAUGCAAGAAGAAACAAAUUUGGCUAAAAGAUGUAACACACAUGGUCCAAAAACCAGACUUGAGAAUACGACACGGAGACAGAAGAAAAACAGAAUCAGAAGCAAAGCUGGAUAAUGAAUGGAAAUAGAAGUGGACAGAAGUGGAGAAAGAUGAGAUAGAUCACCAGAGAAAAGAGCAGAGGAUACAGACUUCUGAGAAAUUUUGUGAAGACUUGUCAAGUUUUGUUAAUGUUGGGAUGGCUUAUGGAGUCAACAGAAUAUGUUUCGAAGCUUAACUUUGCUCUCUAUUAGCUGUGUGAUAUUAAAUUCUUGAAUCUCUGUUCUUUCUUUUGAGCCCCUUUUUCCUACUAAUAAAUGUGCUGCCACAACAGGCAUUGUUGCUAAUGGGACUGGGCACCUCUUCAUCCUC
rnacentral:lncRNA from 1 species